rnacentral:rRNA from 1 species
UACAUGUGGGGCAAGCGUUGUUCGGAUUCACUGGGCGUAAAGGGUGCGUAGGCGGUCGGGUAAGUCUGAUGUGAAAUCUCACAGCUUAACUGUGAAACUGCAUUGGAUACUAUUCGGCUUGAGAGUUGGAGGGGGGACUGGAAUUCUUGGUGUAGCAGUGAAAUGCGUAGAUAUCAAGAGGAACACCAGUGGCGAAGGCGAGUCCCUGGACAACUUCUGACGCUGAGGCACGAAAGCUAGGGGAGCAAACAGG